UACAGAGGGUGCGAGCGUUAAUCGGAAUUACUGGGCGUAAAGCGUGCGUAGACGGUUAUUUAAGUCGGGUGUGAAAGCCCCGGGCUCAACCUGGGAAUUGCAUUCGAGACUGAAUAGCUAGGGUACGGUAGAGGGAAGUGGAAUUUCCGGUGUAGCGGUGAAAUGCGUAGAUAUCGGAAGGAACAUCAGUGGCGAAGGCGACUUCCUGGACCAAUACUGACGCUCAGGUGCGAAAGCGAUGGG
rnacentral:rRNA from 1 species